UACGUAGGUGGCAAGCGUUGUCCGGAAUCACUGGGCGUAAAGCGUGCGCAGGCGGUUUUGUAAGCCAGGUGUGAAAUCCCCGGGCUCAACCUGGGGAUGGCAUUUGGGACUGCAAGGCUGGAGUGCGGCAGAGGAGACUGGAAUUCCUGGUGUAGCAGUGAAAUGCGUAGAUAUCAGGAGGAAUACCGAUGGCGAAGGCAGGUCUCUGGGCUGACACUGACGCUCAUGCACGAAAGCGUGGGGAGCGAACAGG
rnacentral:rRNA from 1 species